rnacentral:rRNA from 1 species
UACGGAAGGCAGCAGUGGGGAAUAUUGCACAAUGGGCGCAAGCCUGAUGCAGCCAUGCCGCGUGUAUGAAAAAGGCCUUCGGGUUGUAAAGUACUUUCAGUCGUGAGGAGGUGUUAAGGUUAAUAACCUUAGCAAUUGACGUUAGCGACAGAAGAAGCACCGGCUAACUCCGUGCCAGCAGCCGCGGUAAUACGGAGGGUGCGAGCGUUAAUCGGAAUUACUGGGCGUAAAGGGCACGCAGGCGGUUAAUUAAGUUGGAUGUGAAAUCCCCGGGCUUAACCUGGGAAUGGCAUUCAAGCUGGUUAGCUAGAGUCUUGUAGAGGGGGUAGAAUUCCAUGUGUAGCGGUGAAAUGCGUAGAGAUGUGGAGGAAUACCGGUGGCGAAGGCGGCCCCUGGACAAAGACUGACGCUCAUGUGCGAAAGCGUGGGGAGCAAACAGGGAUUAGAUACC